rnacentral:rRNA from 1 species
GGUAUUUUGACCGUGCAAAGGUAGCAUAAUCAUUAGUUUUUUAAUUGAAAGCUGGAAUGAAAGGUUGGAUGAGAAAUAAGCUGUCUCUAUUUAAUUUUAUUAGAAUUUUAUUUUUAAGUAAAAAAGCUUAAAUUUUAAUAGAAGACAAGAAGACCCUAUAGAGUUUUAUUUAUUUUUUAAAUAAAAUUAAUAGUAUUAAUUAUUUUUAUUUAGUAGAUAAGUUUGGUUGGGGUGAUUGAAAAAUUUAAUAAACUUUUUUUAUAUAUACACAUUGAUAUAUGAUUAAUUGAUCCUUAAUUUAAGAUUAAAAGAUAAAAUUACCUUAGGGAUAACAGCGUAAUUUUUUUUGAGAGUUCAAAUCGAAAGAAAAGAUUGCGACCUCGAUGUUGGAUUAAAAUAAAAUUUUGGUGUAGAAGCUAAAA